CUGGGCUGCCUGGACAAGAACAUGAAAAUCAAGUCCCUGGAGCAGAUCUCUCUCUUCUCCCUGCCCAUCAAGGAAUCUGAGAUCAUCGACAUUUCUGGGGACACCCUCUCACAGGUGAGGUUUUGAAGACUAUACUUGUGGCAAAAGCAGACCCACACUGGCCAGUGGACCAGGUUCAAGGCAUUUGUUACCAUAAGGGACUACAAUGGCUACAUCAGUCUGGAUAAUUGCUCCAAGGAGGCGGACAGUAGCAUCUGUGGGGUUAUCACCCUGCUCUCCAUCAUCCCCAUGCAGCAAGGAUCCAAUGGAACAAGAUCAGCAAGCUCCACACUCUGCACUGCAAGUGACUGGCUGCUGCGGCUCUGUGCUGAUGUGCCUCACCCUCGCCCCCAAAGGCACUGUCAACAUCUUAGGUCCUGCACUCAAAAAGCUGCUGCUUAUACCUGGUACUCAUGACUGCUACACCUUAGCCAGGGGUUGCACCACCCUCUGAGCAACUGUGCCAAGACUACCUUUGAUGCCACCUCCAAGAUCUUUUUGUUUUUUUUUUUUUGAGACGGAGUCUCGCUCCAUCACCCAGGAUGGAGUGCAGUGGCACGAUCUCGGCUCACUGCAAGCUCCGCCUCCAGGGUUCACGUCAUUCUCCUGCCUCAGCCUCCCGAGUAGCUGGGACUACAGGUGUCCACCACCACACACAGCUAAUUUUUUUUUUUUUUCUAUUUUUAGUAGAGAUGGAGUUUCACUGUGUUAGCCAGGAUGGUCUCGAUCUCCUGACCUCAUGAUCCACCCACCUUGGCCUCCCAAAGUGCUGGGAUUACAGGUGUGAGCCACCACGCCCAGCCGCCACCUCCAAGAUCUUUAGCUAUCUGACCUCUUACUUCUGGAAAGAUUGUGUUUACCAAAUCACCUAAUUGGGAAUUCACUGGCCAUCUAGUAAAGACCUGCACCAGAGCCUCUG
rnacentral:lncRNA from 10 species